rnacentral:rRNA from 1 species
AAAAGAAACCAACAGGGAUUGCCCUAGUAACGGCGAGUGAAGCGGCAACAGCUCAAAUUUGAAAUCUGGCUUCGGCCCGAGUUGUAAUUUGCAGAGGAAGCUUUAGGCGCGGCACCAUCUGAGUCCCCUGGAACGGGGCGCCAAAGAGGGUGAGAGCCCCGUAGAGAUGGACGCUAAGCCUGUGUAAAGCUCCUUCGACGAGUCGAGUUGUUUG